rnacentral:rRNA from 1 species
GAGCGGCAGACGGGUGAGUAACGCGUGGGAAUCUACCCAUCUCUACGGAACAACUCCGGGAAACUGGAGCUAAUACCGUAUACGUCCUUUUGGAGAAAGAUUUAUCGGAGAUGGAUGAGCCCGCGUUGGAUUAGCUAGUUGGUGGGGUAAUGGCCUACCAAGGCGACGAUCCAUAGCUGGUCUGAGAGGAUGAUCAGCCACACUGGGACUGAGACACGGCCCAGACUCCUACGGGAGGCAGCAGUGGGGAAUAUUGGACAAUGGGCGAAAGCCUGAUCCAGCCAUGCCGCGUGAGUGAUGAAGGCCCUAGGGUUGUAAAGCUCUUUCAACGGUGAAGAUAAUGACGGUAACCGUAGAAGAAGCCCCGGCUAACUUCGUGCCAGCAGCCGCGGUAAUACGAAGGGGGCUAGCGUUGUUCGGAAUUACUGGGCGUAAAGCGCACGUAGGCGGAUACUUAAGUCAGGGGUGAAAUCCCGGGGCUCAACCCCGGAACUGCCUUUGAUACUGGGUAUCUCGAGUCCG